CAAAUGCCGCCAAAAGUAGAUGUUGCAUUGUAAAUGCUUGACCAUUUUUCGUAAUGCUUGAAUAUUAUUGCUGUUUAUCUUGAACAUUAUUUCUAAAAUCAGAGGGAUUAUUAUGGUGGCCAAUGAGGUUUUUGGCACACAACUUUUUUUUGGAUUCGCAGUGAUGCUCAUCCUUGAAUAUAUUGACUGAUCUGUCAUAUUCUAUUGCAGAACAGGAUCAUUUAGUCUCAUUCUCAAAUGGCUGGUUCGGACUUGGUAUAAUCUCCUCUGGCUCAACUGAUGCUAUUGUCCUCAGGGCUGUACAAGGGAAUGAUUGGGAAGACUUUAUUUGCUAUCCAAUUAAGCAUCACUUGUGAUUUUGUGAAGAAGUUAUAGCUAUAAGAUCAAAUGUAUCGCCCAGACAAGUUAUAUUAUCCUUAUGGAAGAUAUGGACAUGAUUUACUAUUUCACUUAAUGAUGAUCACGUGAAAUCUCCAAGAUCAUCUAAUUAUGCAUGUGUGAUGAUCAACAUGUUAUCAAUUAUUUUAUUUUUUCUUCGUUGCUUCA